UGGGGAAUAUUGCACAAUGGAGGGAACUCUGAUGCAGCGACGCCGCGUGAACGAAGAAGGCUUUCGAGUCGUAAAGUUCUUUUAUAUGGGAAGAUAAUGACGGUACCAUAAGAUAAAGCCCCGGCUAACUACGUGCCAGCAGCCGCGGUAAUACGUAGGGGGCUAGCGUUGUCCGGAAUCACUGGGCGUAAAGGGUUCGCAGGCGGAAAUGCAAGUCAGGUGUAAAAGGCAGUAGCUUAACUACUGUAAGCAUUUGAAACUGCAUAUCUUGAGAAGAGUAGAGGUAAGUGGAAUUUUUAGUGUAGCGGUGAAAUGCGUAGAUAUUAAAAAGAAUACCGGUGGCGAAGGCGACUUACUGGGCUCAUUCUGACGCUGAGGAACGAAAGCGUGGGUAGCAAACAGG
rnacentral:rRNA from 2 species